rnacentral:tRNA from 1 species
GUCCUGAUAGGGUAGUGGACUAUCCUCCUGGCUUGCGGAGCCAGGGACCGGAGUUCGAAUCUCCGUCAGGACGCCA